rnacentral:rRNA from 1 species
CGGACGGGUGAGUAACACGUGGAUAACCUACCUAUAAGACUGGGAUAACUUCGGGAAACCGGAGCUAAUACCGGAUAAUAUUUUAAACCGCAUGGUUCAAAAGUGAAAGACGGUCUUGCUGUCACUUAUAGAUGGAUCCGCGCUGCAUUAGCUAGUUGGUAAGGUAACGGCUUACCAAGGCAACGAUGCAUAGCCGACCUGAGAGGGUGAUCGGCCACACUGGAACUGAGACACGGUCCAG